rnacentral:lncRNA from 1 species
CCCCACGGUCUCCCUCUCCCUCUCUUUCCACGGUCUCCCUCUGAUGCCGAGCCGAAGCUGGACUGUACUGCUGCCAUCUCGGCUCACUGCAACCUCCCUGCCUGAUUCUCCUGCCUCAGCCUGCCGAGUGCCUGCGAUUGCAGGCGCGUGCCGCCACGCCUGACUGGUUUUCACAUUUGUUUGGUGGAGACGAAGUUUCGCUGUGUUGGCCGGGCCGGUCUCCAGCUCCUAACCGCGAGUGAUCCGCCAGCCUCGGCCUCCCGAGGUGCCGGGAUUGCAGACGGAGUCUGGUUCACUCAGUGCUCAAUGGUGCCCAGGCUGGAGUGCAGUGGCGUGAUCUCGACUCGCUACAACCUCCACCUCCCAGCCGCCUGCCUUGGCCUCCCAAAGUGCCGAGAUUGCAGCCUCUGCCUGGCCGCCACCCCGUCUGGGAAGUGAGGAGCGUCUCUGCCUGGCCGCCCAUCGUCUGGGAUGUGAGGAGCCCCUCUGCCUGGCUGCCCAGUCUGGAAAGUGAGGAGCGUCUCUGCCCGCCCGCCAUCCCAUCUAGGAAGUGAGGAGCGCCUCUUUCCGGCCGCCAUCCCAUCUAGGAAGUGAGGAGUGUCUCUGCCCGGCCGCCCAUCGUCUGAGAUGUGGGGAGCGCCUCUGCCCCGCCGCCCCGUCUGGGAUGUGAGGAGCGCCUCUGCCCUGCCGUGACCCCGUCUGGGAGCUAAAAUUCAAGUAAUGGACUAUUUGGAUGAUAGCGUGCCCGGAAUUGGUUCCUUCCGAUAUUCUUGGUCUCGCUGACUUUAACAAUGAAGCCUCAGACCAUUGCGCACAGUCCAGUGUUAAGACAGGGCAUGAGGACCAGCUCCACUGGAAACACCAGCCAGCGUCUUAACCGGGGAGGAAGGAAGGUGUGUGCUGGGCAAGUGGGGCAUGUGACAAAGUGGAACUGAAGUGGCCGUCGCUUGCCUUUAGGCCAGCAGGUUCCUCAGCAGCCUUUGCUCAUAGGCUGGCUUAACUAUGAUCCUGCUGUGGGAAGAUAAAAAAACUGACCGAAGGAGAUAGGCUGAGUAAUGGCUCCCUCAAGAUGUCCAUAUUUCAUCCCUGGAACCUGUGAAUACAUUUCUUUAUGUGGCAAAAGGGACUUUGUGGCUGUGAUUAAACUAAGAACCUUGAAAUGAGGAGAUUCUCCGGGAUCGUCCAGAUGCAUCAAAUGUAACAAGAAGGAGUCAGAGUCAGGCUGGAAGCCGCUAUGCUGCUGGCUUUGAAGGCAGAUGAAGGGGCCAAGGAAUUAGGGUGGUCUCUAGAAUCUGGAAAAGGCAAUGAAAUUGAUUCUCCCCUAGAGCUUUCAGAAGGAAUGCAGCCUUGCCCACACCUUCAUUUUAGACCAGUGAAACUGAUUUUAGACUUCUGACUGCCAGAACUGUAAGAUAAUAAAUGUAUAUUGUUUGAAGCUACUAGGUUUGUGGUCAUUUGUUACAUCAGCAACAG